rnacentral:rRNA from 1 species
AUUGAACGCUGGCGGCAGGCCUAACACAUGCAAGUCGAGCGAGCGGCGGACGGGUGAGUAAUGUCUGGGAAACUGCCUGAUGGAGGGGGAUAACUACUGGAAACGGUAGCUAAUACCGCAUACCAUCAGAUGUGCCAAGAUGGGAUUAGCUAGUAGGUGGGGUAACGGCUCACCUAGGCGACGAUCCCUAGCUGGUCUGAGAGGAUGACCAGCCACCCUGGAACCGCGACACGGUCCAGCCUCCUACGGUGGGCAGCAGUGGGUAAUAUUGCACAAUGGGCACAAUCCUGAUGCAGCCAUGCCGCGUGUGUGAAGAAGGCCUUCGGGUUGUAAAGCACUUUCAGCGGGGAGGCGUUACCCGCAGAAGAAUCACCGGCUAACUCCGUGCCAGCAGCCGCGGUAAUAC